rnacentral:rRNA from 1 species
UACGUAGGGUGCGAGCGUUAAUCGGAAUUACUGGGCGUAAAGUGUGCGCAGGUGGCCGCGCAAGUCGAGUGUGAAAUCCCCGAGCUUAACUUGGGAAUUGCGCUCGAAACUACGUGGCUCGAGUGUGGCAGAGGAAGGUGGAAUUCCACGUGUAGCGGUGAAAUGCGUAGAUAUUCGGAAGAACACCAGUGGCGAAGGCGGCUCACUGGCCCGUUACCGACGCUCAGGCGCGACAGCGUGGGGAGCAAACAGG